rnacentral:misc_RNA from 1 species
GAUGAAGAACGCAGCGAAAUGCGAUAAGUAAUGUGAAUUGCAGAAUUCAGUGAAUCAUCGAAUCUUUGAACGCAUCUUGCGCUCCUUGGUAUUCUGAGGAGCAUGCCUGUUUGAGUGUCAUUAAAUUCUCAACUACACUGACUUUGAAUUGGUGUGGCUUGGAUUUGGGGGGAAAAUUGUUGUGGGCUUUUUGUAUAGUCUGCUCCCCUGAAAUUGAUUAGCGGUACCUUUGUGGAACUGUCUACAGGUGUGAUAAUUAUCUACAUCUUAGACAUCUGCUGGAAUGCUGCUUUCUAAACCUUACUUGUAUUGACAAUCUUGACCUCAAAUCAGGUAGGACUACCUGCUGAACUUAAGCAUAUCAAUAAGCGGAGGA